rnacentral:rRNA from 1 species
CCUACGGGAGGCAGCAGUGGGGAAUAUUGGGCAAUGGGCGAAAGCCUGACCCAGCAACGCCGCGUGAAGGCAGAAGGCUUUCGGGUUGUAAACUUCUUUUGACAGGGAAGAGCAGAAGACGGUACCUGUCGAAUAAGCCACGGCUAACUACGUGCCAGCAGCCGCGGUAAUACGUAGGUGACAAGCGUUGUCCGGAUUUACUGGGUGGAAAGGGCGUGUAGCCGGGCUGACAAGUCAGAUGUGAAAUCCGGGGGCUCAACCCCCGAACUGCAUUUGAAACUGUUGGUCUUGAGUAUCGGAGAGGCAGGCGGAAUUCCUGGUGUAGCGGUGAAAUGCGUAGAUAUCAGGAGGAACACCAGUGGCGAAGGCGGCCUGCUGGACGACAACUGACGGUGAGGCGCGAAAGCGUGGGGAGCAAACAGGAUUAGAUACCCCAGUAGUC